rnacentral:antisense_RNA from 1 species
CUUGAUCGAGCCCAACCACAGCGGCUUACGCCGGUCUUGCCCAUAGGUCGCCAGAAUCGCUUGGGCCUC